AGUCGGGUUCUUUAUUGCUGAGCCACAAUGGGAACUCCUGUAAUGACAAAUUUUUUAGUGAUAACUUCACAAAACAAGCUAGCUGCUCUCCUGGGACAAUGGCUAAGCUAAGGCACAGGUGUCUUCUGUCCUUGGUCAGAGCAGCAGAGCUAGAUGUGGUUCAUGUGAGACAGGAGGCAGAGGGGAGUGGAAGGAGAGCCAGAGACAUGUCUGUGUUAUCUGGAUCUGGGGGAAUCUUGGGAGAAGGGAGCCCUGAGCCAUGUGUAGGAUCCAAGUAGAGUCCAAACAGCUCAGAGGAAAACUAUCUGUCAGAAAGAUGCGAUAGUAUUGCCAAAUGCACAUGAAACCAGCUACAGAAAUUGUGAAAACUCUUGUGAUCCUGUGUGACAAGAUUCAUUAAAAUGAUAAACACCUGCUUUGGGCUAAAAUUAGAGUCAAUCAUCUUUGAUUUGCUACAGUUCCAAAACAUUAUAAAUAAUAUUUUGUAGGUACAUUUAAGCCCAAUGUAUCAACAUGAAUGUUUAAUAAAUUACUACAAUAUUGCUGAACGUAUUUGUGGUUUGCAGAUUGGGGUUGGGGAGGAGAGGUAAAUCAUCAAAAAUAAGAGGCAAUAGAUCCCCUUAAAGGAACUGUCAUGCCCAGGGCAGAGAAUGAAAAUGAGACGACACUUUGCAUGUUCCACCUUGUGGGUAAUCCAACAGAUGCAAAAGCAGCAUACACAUUAUGUCCUGUUCAUGAUAAGGGUCCAGAAAUCUUCUCAGGUCUAGAUUAAACUAUAAAAGAACAGAUGGAAGUCAUCCAAAUUGGCAGGCUGAUCGCCUGUAUUCUAAGUAGAAUCAUAACUUGGAAUUUGCCCUUCCAAAGGCUGACAACCCACUUGUGUGCAGAGAACUGCAUGAGAAAAUAUGCCUGGUUCCUCACCAGGGACAAGGAGCCUCCGGGGGCAGAAACUUUGCCCACAUCAUGGUCUUCCCUGGGGCCCAGAUUACUUGGGCCAGGUAGGACAGGAAUGACUUGGAAAACUUAGAAUGAGUGGCAAAGAUAUGCUUAUCCUCUUUCAGUCUCUACCUGCAUGCCUCUGAACUGCUUUAAUAUUGGGGCCUUUUAAAUCUUUGAAAUAUCCACAAGUUGAGAAUAAUAUUGGCUCUAUAAGGGCUGCAGGGGACUGGGCCACACAAUAAAUGCAGGUGUAUUUGUUUGUCAAAUCACUCUUCUUAAAUUCCCCUAUUCUUUCCUUACCUUACCUUCCUGUUACUCUCAUCAACACCCUGUCUCCACUUCUCCUACCUCUGUUCCUCCGCCCCAUUCUUCAGCGUUUGCAGCUGCAUGAAAUGACCGAAAAGUUGAUGGAUGACUAGACUCCUGGCUAGAUUGAAAAAGCCUGGAAGGAGACACCACCCACCACUUCAGACCUGGUCAGCUUUACAGAGAAGAUGCCGCUGCUCCCGUUCUUAUCGGCCAAUCUCUCACCUCCAGGGCUGAGGGAGGGGCAUCAAAUGCAACGGAGUCCAGACUACACUGUAGGCCCUACAGGACAUCUGUAUGUUGCCCUGAAAACACACAAGGCUGGAGUGCGUGCAGGAGAUUCCUGGUAGGAGACAACUUCAUGUUGACGGUGGCUUACUGUGAUGGAAGGUGAGGAGCAAAAAGAGUCUUGUCUUUCUGGGAACCCCUAAUACUAUCUCAGGGCUUGUAACUCAGGACGGUUCCUGAGAGCCAAUGGCUAAUCAGAGGAACCAUCUGAUCUGCUUGGGCCAGAGCACAGUGAGUAUGGGAUUCUGGAGUGGAGUGUGUGGGGAGAUGCCUGUUAAAUUUCCAGAUGUUGAAAUGGUUUGUUCAUUUUCUGUACAACAGAACAAAAAAGUAAUGUGCAAAAAAAUGAAAGUAAUUGCCCAUGGAAUUUGCUGUGGGUAUUCUCCUACUCCGUGCUGUUUUGGGCACCGUGGUGGACGCGUCUUCAUGGUAGAAAAGGUGAGGUGGCUGCAAUUCAUCCUGGAUUUUAUUAGUCAUUCUGGUCCCUCCUUGCCUCGGGAAUUUCUUUCACUUUCCAGUGUGACUACCGGAAGAUGAGGUCAUUAAGGCUGUAUCAGAGCUUGACUACCACUGAACCCAUUCUAACAGUCAGCAUAGUAAUUGCAUAUUCAAACACUAACAAGGCGAAAUUUGUGGAUGGUUGAAAUGAUACAGUACUUUGCUAUACACAAAACAUUGACUCAUAAUGUACCUUGGGAAAAUUAAACUUCUUUCUUUCCUUUCCUUUUUUUUUAGGCCGUACCCACCGCAUAUGGAGGUUC